UACGUAGGGGGCAAGCGUUGUCCGGAUUUAUUGGGCGUAAAGAGCGUGUAGGCGGUCUGGUAGGUCCGUUGUGAAAACUCGAGGCUCAACCUCGAGACGCCGAUGGAAACCCUCAGACUAGAGUCCGGAAGAGGAGAGUGGAAUUCCUGGUGUAGCGGUGGAAUGCGCAGAUAUCAGGAAGAACACCCGUGGCGAAGGCGGCUCUCUGGAACGCAACUGACGCUGGGACGCGAAAGCGUGGGGAGCAAACAGG
rnacentral:rRNA from 1 species